rnacentral:tRNA from 1 species
GCCGGGUUGGUGGAACCGGGAUACACAGAGGUCUCAAACACCUCCGCCCGAUAGGGCAUGCGGGUUCGAAUCCCGCACCCGGCA